GAGAAUAUAGCUCAAUGGUAGAGCACAUGCUUAGCAUGCAUGAGGUCCUAGGUUCAAUCCCCAGUACCUCCA
rnacentral:tRNA from 1 species